CUUCCCAUACGGGUUGAAGCAUGACCGUAAGGACAUGUGGACAGUAUGGGAGUGAGAAUGUUGGCAUGAGUAGCGAGAUGUGGGUGAGAAUCCCACAGGCCGUAAACCCAAGGUUUCCAGGGGAAGGUUCGUCCGCCCUGGGUUAGUCGGGACCUAAGCUGAGGCCGAAAGGCGUAGGUGAUGGACAACAGGUUGAUAUUCCUGUACUACCGAUAACCGUUUGAGAGAAGGGAUGACACAGUAGGAUAAGCUAAGCACACUGUUGGUUAUGUGUGCCCAAGCAUUGAGGCAGUCAAAGUAGGCAAAUCCGCUUUGAUAAUGCUGGGAUGUGAUGGGGAGCGAAAUUUAGUAGCGAAGUAGCUGAUUUCACACUGUCAAGAAAAGUCUCUAUCGAGGUUAAAGGUACCCGUACCGCAAACCGACACAGGUGGGUGAGGAGAGUAUCCUAAGGCCAGCGAGAGAACUGUUGUUAAGGAACUCGGCAAAAUGACCCCGUAACUUAGGGAUAAGGGGUGCCACCAUCAGGUGGCCGCAGAGAAUAGGCCCAAGCGACUGUUUACCAAAAACAUAGGUUUCUGCUAAGUCGCAAGACGAUGUAUAGGAGCUGACGCCUGCCCGGUGCUGGAAGGUUAAGGGGAUCUGUUAGAG
rnacentral:rRNA from 1 species